rnacentral:rRNA from 1 species
GACGAACGCUGGCGGCGUGCCUAAUACAUGCAAGAAGAACGCUGAAGGAGGAGCUUGCUCUUCUGGAUGAGUUGCGAACGGGUGAGUAACGCGUAGGUAACCUGCCUGGUAGCGGGGGAUAACUAUUGGAAACGAUAGCUAAUACCGCAUAACAGUAGAUGUUGCAUGACAUUUGCUUAAAAGGUGCAAUUGCACCACUACCAGAUGGACCUGCGUUGUAUUAGCUAGUUGGUGGGGUAACGGCUCACCAAGGCGACGAUACAUAGCCGACCUGAGAGGGUGAUCGGCCACACUGGGACUGAGACACGGCCCAGACUCCUACGGGAGGCAGCAGUAGGGAAUCUUCGGCAAUGGACGGAAGUCUGACCGAGCAACGCCGCGUGAGUGAAGAAGGUUUUCGGAUCGUAAAGCUCUGUUGUAAGAGAAGAACGAGUGUGAGAGUGGAAAGUUCACACUGUGACGGUAUCUGACCAGAAAGGGACGGCUAACUACGUG